UCCAAGGCCCUCAUCAGGGCCACCAACUAUAAAAUAUUUUCACUGG
rfam:Octopus bimaculoides Scaffold1677_contig_65, whole genome shotgun sequence.